rnacentral:rRNA from 1 species
GUUUAUGCCGCAUGGCAUAAGAGUGAAAGGCGCUUUCGGGUGUCGCUGAUGGAUGGACCCGCGGUGCAUUAGCUAGUUGGUGAGGUAACGGCUCACCGAGGCCACGAUGCAUAGCCGACCUGAGAGGGUGAUCGGUCACGCUGGGACUGAGACACGGCCCAGACUCCUACGGGAGGCAGCAGUAGGGAAUCUUCGGCAAUGGACGAAAGUCUGACCGAGCAACGCCGCGUGAGUGAAGAAGGUUUUCGGAUCGUAAAACUCUGUUGUUAGAGAAGAACAAGGACGUUAGUAACUGAACGUCCCCUGACGG